AUGUUUAAUCAAUUAGAUGAGAAGAUAUGCUCACAGAAUACUGAAAUACAACUGAAAGUCAGACAUUUCUGUCUAUGGGGCUUUUUUCAUUGGGAAGUUAAUCUUCACUAUAUUUUUUUUUUUUCUCCCUGUAGCAAAGCUCAGAUUUCUCUUUUUUCUCCAACUGGUUUCCUUCCUGGGAGACUAGUGGGGCACAGGGUCCACAGGGUACAGUAGGAAUCCCAGGGCCAGAAGGUAUGGCAGGGCUGCCUGGGCCAAUGGGACCUCAGGGACCUCCAGGACCCCCUGGACCCCCUGGACCAGCCUUCCAAAUUACUGUAAGUUACUUACUGUAAUCUAUGAAUUCAGCAGCCUCAAGGCUUUUAAUCUCAGGACUAUCGCAAGGGCCAUGUAGUCACAGGACUUUGUGCCUUUUUACAAAGAUUAGUAGGAGGCCUAGAACUUGAUCUACCAUAUCCACUGUGUUUUCAGACUGAUGGAAAAGAAAAAGAAGUUGAUCUUCAAUACAUUCCAGGAGUCAUGGGGCCACCAGGUCCACAGGUAACUAUAAACUGCUGUCACAUUAUCAUCACAGCAACAUAGUGCUUAUUCCACCUCAUCCCUGUUGUUUUUGUUUGUUUUUUUUUUUCCUCUAAAGGGACCUCAGGGGAUACCCGGACUACCAGUGAGACUAUGACUUAUAUGUUUAUAAUGUGGUAUCCAUGUUACAAAUUACAAUAUACAUUACACCUUCCUGGGAGAAAAGUUAAUUCUCUUUUCUUUAAACUCUGCAGGGAAAAUCUGGUUUACCAGGUAUUUCAGGUCAGAAAGGUGAAGAAGGUCAAAAAGGACAAGAAGGAAUGCCAGGGUUAGAUGGCUUUCCAGGAAAAAUAGUGAGUGAAAGAUCACUAGCAUGAAUACCAGCGUUGAACAGCAAUAUUGUAACAUUUAAAAAAAAAUAUGUUUUACAGGGGCUAAAGGGGGAAAGAGGAUGGAAAGGUGAAAAAGUGAGUAUUCAUUUGAAGACAAUUAGCUUAGAUGUAGGAUUUCUAUUUCCGGUUCACUCAGCCUUCAGCAACAGUAGUAUUCAACCCAGUUCAACCCUACAACUAUUCUGUGAACCUAAGCAAUAGAUUUAUAUUAAUAUAUUUGUAUUUAGGGCGAUCCCGGUCAUGCAGUAGGGCCUGCAGGACCACCAGGGCCACCAGGUCCUCCAGGACAAGUUAUCUAUAUUAAUGGCAGUGUAAGUGUUAUCAUACAGUUAUCCCUCAAAGGACAUUGUAUAACUCUGUAACAUUUUACUGAUCCUUUACAACAAACAAUGACUUCAAUUGAAUUCAAUUUCAGACAAAUGGAGAAUAUGGAAUCCCUGGACCACAGGUGAAAGGAAAUGAUAAAUACUAGUCGUUAUAGCUUUUUAUUAAUUUGAGUAUGUAAAAAUCAUGCAGUUCAAUACAGAAUAUCCUGUGUAAAUUUGAUUUACUAUUUGCAUAAUAUAACGCAUAUCGUGUUUUGUUCUUGUUUUAUUAGGGUACACCUGGUAUAGCUGGUCAGGCAGGAUUCCCUGUAAGUUUUUAAUCUCUGGUAAUUUUGUUGUGAGUCCAGUAUUGUACAUUUUGGAUAACAUCAGAUUCUACCACAUCUGCACCUUUUUAUUUAAAUGUUCAUUUUAAACUUAAAAGAUCAAUCAAUGCAUUCAUCGUGCUCUCCCAGCUAUUUAGGUGCCAAGACCUAUAUAUGUUACAAAAUUACAAAGAUUGGUCUACACUCUACAAAUUGGUUUAUUUAAGUUAAAGCAGGAGCUUUAAACUUUAAAAGACUGUGAGAAGUAAAAACUGUUUUACAGUGCAUUUUUUUCAUAUCUUUAAAGGGACCAGUGGGUCCAAAAGGUGAUCAGGGGGAACCUGGACUACCAGGAGACUCUGUCAAGGUAAUACAUGUAUGUUUUGGUAAAACUUUAUUACAAAAAUACACUUUAGAAAAUCAAUUAAAAAUCAGGGGUAUUUCACCAAAUAUUCUAAAGUUAGUAUUGUGUUGUUUAAAAAUGAAUAUGAACUUGUUUUCUUUGGAUUAUUUGAGGUCUGAAAAUACUUUGUUAUUUUGACCAGUUGUCAUUUUCUGCAAAUUAAUGCUCUAAAUAACAUGUUUGAAAUUUGGGAAAAAUGGUGUCAGUAGAAUAAAACAAAAAUGUUAAAUUUACUCAUUAAUGUUAAUUUAACCCAUACCUAUAAAUAGGAAAACCAGAGAAACUGAUAAUUUUGCAGUGGUCUCUUAAUUUUUUCUAGAGCUGUUUAUAUGUUGUGCCAUGAAAAGGUUUUUGCCCCCUUCCAGACUAACUGGCAAUAGUCUUUCACAUCGCUGUGGAGGAAUUUUGGCCCACUCUUCUUUAUAGAAUUGUUUUAAAUUAGCCAUAUUGGAGGGUUUUUGAGCAUGAAUGGACUGUUUAAGUUCAUGCCACAGCAUCUCAAUCGGAUUUAAGUCCAGACUUUGAAUUGGCCACUACAAACCAUUUUUUUUUUUUUUUUUGAGCCAUUCAGAGAUGAACUUGCCCGUGUGUUUGGGAUCAUUGUCCUGCUGAAUAACCCAAGUGCGCUUGACCAUGAGGUCACAAACUGACAGCCGGACAUUCUCCUUCAGGAUUUUCUAAAAGAAUUCAGAAUUCAUGGUUCCAUCAAUUAUGGCAAGUCAUCCAGGUCCUGAAGGUGCAAAGCAGCCACAG
rnacentral:lncRNA from 12 species